rfam:Proteus penneri ATCC 35198 genomic scaffold Scfld3, whole genome shotgun sequence.
CGUUAAUCUCAGGGCGGGGUGAAAGUCCCCACCGGCGGUAGAUACCUGAAUACAUAGGUAAAGCCCGCGAGCGCUUUGUGUUGCUAUUGUAAUGCAAAGGUCAGCAGAUCCAGUGUAAUUCUGGAGCCGACAGUUAAAGUCUGGAUGGGAGAGAAUAAAA